ACAGAUGGAAAGCCGAUGCAACUGCAGCAGACAGAGAACUACAAGAUGUAAUCAAGGAUUUGAACUGUGGUUGGGAACAAGGGCCAUUUCCCAAGCCAUACUAUCACUUCCGUGGUAAGUUAACUGUAGUUGAUGGUGUGAUACUAAAGGUAAUAAGGAUUGUUAUUCCCACAGCUCUAAGACAAGACAUGUUAAGCAUUGUCCACGAAGGCCACAUGGGCAUUGAGAAAUGCAGACGAAGGGCUCGAAAAUUUCUUUACUGGCCAAACAUGAAUAAAGAUAUAGAGAAUCUGGUAAGCAAGUGUGGAGUUUGUCAGAAAUACAGACACCAACAACAGAAAUAACCUCUUGAGCCACAUGAGGUACCAAAUGAACCAUGGAUGAAAGUAGGUGCUGACCUCUUCCAACUUGACGGUAAGGACUAUUUACUUGUGAUAGACUAUAUGUCAAACUAUCCUGAAGUAGCACUGCUGAGUGGUAAAACAAAAACAACCGCAGUUGUCAACCACAUGAAAUCAUUCUUUGCAAGGCACGGAAUUCCUCGCACUAUUUUAGCAGAUGGCGGACCACAAUUCAUAUGUAAUGAAUUUGAUGCUUUUGUGAAGUCAUAUGGAAUUGUACAUACUUUUUCUGAUCCAUACUACCCCAAAGGAAAUGGACAAGCAGAGAAAGGAGUUCCGAUUGUAGAAAACUUACUUAAAAAGUCAGGAUACAUAUUUGGUAUUGUUCGCCUACAGAAACACACUUAGCUUGUGGAAAGUCUCCUGCUGAACUUUGAUGAAUCACAAGUUGAGAACAAAGCUACCAAGUGCUUCACACUAUAAGCCACAAACAUGUCUUCGUGCAAAACAAGAAAGACUUAAACAGAAACAGUUCUAUGAUAUUAAGUCUAAACCAUUGAGACCGUUAGAUAAAAACGAGACGGUAAGAAUGCGUGAAAAGAAUUGCUGGAGCAAGAAAGCUGUUAUCUGUAAGAAACUGACAGAUUGCUCUUACAAAAUUAAGUCAGAGGAUGGUUAAGUCUAUGUGAGAAAUAGUAUCCACCUACUACCCACAAAGGAUAAGUUUGAAGAGCUUCCAGUAACUGUUGAUGCUGAGUCAAAUGCUGGGAUGAGUCUAGAAAGCAAGACACAACAGGUGGUAAAUACACCUUAGAAAGGUACUGUUGUUGAUAAAGAUCCAGUCGUGCCUAGAUCUCAGAGACAAAUUAACAAACCACAAAGACUCAUUGAAGAAAUCUAGACAUGUUUAAUAGAACAUGAAUAUUUCUGAACACUGAGCAUUAGUUGUUGUUGAGUCCAUUAGACUUCGUUACAGUUGUUAUUUAGUUUAUGAUAUUUUUUCUUAAAGGGAAAGAUGGAAUGAUAUGUCACGCUAUGCUCACCAGGCGGUCGUUUGUCUGACUCGUGAAUAACUAAACAUUACAACUCUUCUUCCUAAUGAAGGAGGAAGAAGUUAAGGAGAGGAGUAAAAAGAAAAUCCUAAAAGUCAUGUAAAAGUCAAAGGUCUUUCAGACAAAAGAACCUAUAAGGAAAACAAAGCAAUUGUAGAUCAGCUGUUCCGAAGAUACGAAAGAGAGGUUGAGAAGGAACCCGAGAACCAUUUCGCGGACCUCGUGCACUGCCAUAUGCUCAUCGAGAUGUCAGAGUAAACAUUCUGAUAGUGGCGUCUGUCAAGUUCCAGGUGUCCUACCGGGUAUCCUGUGCUAGGAUAUGAACCGAGUUGCGGCAUGUGGCCUGGGAAGAGCUCACUUACAGAAGAAAUGGUUUCCUUUGACGGCACAACUCUUACAAAUCUUUGAAAAUAAACAAGAAAAAAAACAA